GGGCCCGCACAAGCGGUGGAGCAUGUGGUUUAAUUCGAUGAUACGCGAGGAACCUUACCAGGACUUAAAUGCACAAUGACAGAUUGGGAAACCAAUCCUUCUUCGGACAAUGUGCAAGGUGCUGCAUGGUUGUCGUCAGCUCGUGCCGUGAGGUGUUGGGUUAAGUCCCGUAACGAGCGCAACCCCUAUUCUUAGUUGCCAGCGGUUCGGCCGGGGACUCUAAGAAACUGCCAGCGCAAGCUGUGAGGAAGGUGGGGAUGACGUCAAAUCAUCACGGCCCUUACGUCCUGGGCUACACACGUGCUACAAUGGUAGGUACAAAGGGCAGCCACUUGGUGACAAGGAGCUAAUCUCUAAAACCUAUCUCAGUUCGGAUUGGAGUCUGAAACUCGACUCUAUGAAGCUGGAAUC
rnacentral:rRNA from 1 species